UGCAGGUUGUUGACUAAUGGUUUAUCAUCAAAAUUUUAUAUUACUGGCGGUAAGAAUAAAGAGAAGUUUGAAGGAACACACAUUUGUAUGGUUGUUACCUGUAAUACCAAUUAAAGCAACUGAUACAAGUGCUUAAUUAAGAAAAGGAAUAAUGACUUAUCUAAAAUACGCACACGACAGAUAGAAUGAUGGUGGUCGGCGCGUAUAAGACGAUUCACCAGAUAUAUAACAUUCAUACUUUUUUCUAAUUGUUCUGGAACUAUUGUUAAAUAAAAUAUUUUUUUUCUGUUUGCAUUGUAAAAUAAUGUCCCUUAAAGCAUUUUAGUUGUGCCUGAUCUAGUUGAAUCUGAUUAUUUUACGUGAAAUAUAAUAUUCUUUGCGCAAA